AACGCAUCUUGCGCUCCUUGGUAUUCCGAGGAGCAUGCCUGUUUGAGUGUCAUUUAACUUCUCAACCACUGAUGUGGCUUGGACGUGGGGGUUGUUUGCAGGCUUUUGUUUCAAAAGGUCGGCUCCCCUGAAAUGCAUUAGCGGUGUCUGAGCUGCUACUAUAGGUGUGAUAAUUAUCUAUGCCUUUGGUAUGCUGCAUGAACAGAUUGUGCUGCUUCGAAAUUUGAAUUUGAUGAAUUUGACCUCAAAUCAGGUAGGACUACCCGCUGAACUUAA
rnacentral:misc_RNA from 1 species